CUGCCUGGCUCCCUGGGCUCUGGUGGAACACAGCUGCCCUUCCUAAUUUGGUCUUAAUCAGGCUGAGCUAAGCCAGUCUGUAUUUGAGGAGUUGGAAGCAGGUGAUUCGGGCACAAAUUUGAAGGCUGAUAAACGGCAGCCGUCACCCGUGCACUCAGAGCGGCCAGAAGUCCUGCUCCUGGGGAAGGAGGAAGGGCGCAAGGGCAAUGAGCAUGUCGCCUUGCCCUCGGGGUGUGCGGUUUCUGCUCAGCCUCCUCUUGCAGCCUUGUUUCAAGUGUGGGAAUGGCCUCCUGACUCCCAAUCCGAAACAACUGCUGAGCACAGAAGGCAGAGCAGGGCCCUGAGAGUCAGAGGAAAAUGCUGCUGCGGGGACUGGGGAGCCCCAUCGGGUGACUCCCCAGAGAUGUGAGCAGGUGCAGAGGCUGGAACAACAGUGCUGCAGGAAAGUCUCUCCCGUGGAUGCUGUGGCCUGGGGCUUGGGUGACGACGUGCACGGCUGCCUCCUCGCUGUCACGUGCUCUGCUGGCUCGUCUCCAAGCUGUGCUGCUCAUGUUCCAAAGUCUCCCUGGAGGCUUUAGUGAAAAGCCCUUUCCCCGGUGACCUGGAGUGUCUUGCUAGAUGGAGCUGGCCAAGCCUGACGUCUUUUCCUGGCCGAUGCCUCAGUCCUUAUGCAAGCUGAGCUAUCUGAUGGCAGGUCCUGAGAUCAGCGUCUGGGGCCAGUUCCCAGGGAUAGGCUAUCCCAGCAGGACCGCAGCACCUGCUGAUGCCCCUGCAGCUGCCAGAUCCUGGGAGGUGGCAUCACUGUGCCUGCCAUUAAGGUGGACGUGAGGCAGGACUUCAUCCUGGAGCUGGAAGAAGCCUCAGGGUCAUCAGUCCUCAGAGUGGCAUCAGGCCCACCCUCACCGCACAGGUGGGGCCUCAGGCCUGGGAGCGUGACCGACUGGCCCCCAGUCUUUCCACCAGCCAGGAGUAAGGUCGGGACUAGACUCCUGACUCGCUGACCACCAUACCUACAGCCAUUCCCUCACUCUCCUUCAAUGACCUCAAGUGGGGGCAAAAGAGCGGCUGCCAUGACCUCAAGGACUCUCAGAUGCAUGGCAAACGGCAGGUCUGACCGUGCCGGAAAGGGUCCAGGGGAAGGCUGCUGCCUCCAUCCUCGGGCCAGGACAUGAAGGGGCAUCAACGUCAGGGCAGAAAACAGGAGCAAUGGGAGGUCCUGAGUGAAUCCUGCAACAGAGAAACUCUUGCCUGCACCCUCUCCUCUGUCCCCCCUCCACCGCCCCAUCUCAAUGCCACAGGCUGAACCGGAGACCUGUCUUGAUGCCAGAGGGGGCCAGCAAUUGCCCAAAGAAUGCGGAGCUCCCCCUGGUUUGUUGCUGGGGGCCCUUAAUCCCAGUGCUGUGCUGGAGCUGGCUUGUAACAUUCAAUAGAACCAAGCGUUAAAUGUGCUCAGAUUUUGUGAGCCAGUUGUAAAUAUAGGCAUUAUUCACAAUUAAUCAUAUGAACUUAUAAUCAAAUAUGUUAACAAACACCCCUUCCCAAUGAGUUUUACUACUUUUGCUAUUUUCUAUGCUUUGAGGGUUACUUGCAUCUAUUAUAUCAAUGCCGUGGGAAGAGUAUAUAGUGACAGCUACUGGGCAUCUCUUCCCAAGCCCACAAUCUGUGACGUCACAUUGAAAGCUUGGGAUUGGCCAUGAUAGGAGUAUUUACACCAUGGAAGUUGGCAAACACUGCAAAUCAGAGCUUGUGUUAUUGUUUUGUUGAUUUUCUAGGCUUAAGAAAGUAAUAAAAAAUUGUUAAUAGUA
rnacentral:lncRNA from 1 species